UUUCCUUUUUUUUCUUUUUUUCCUUUUUUUUUCUUUUAAAAUUUUCCAUUUUAAGUUGGUUAUUUCUGAUUUAUAUUUAAAAGCAAAUAAUAAUGAUAUGGUAGGAGAUACACACCAAACAGUAUGUGCAAAUUAUUAUGUAAUAAGUAUUGUGCAAUAGCAAGAAAUUUUCAAUUGCACAGUAUUGCACAAUAGCAAGAAAUCUUCAAUUGCACAGUAUUGCGCAAUAGCAAGAAAUCUUCAAUUGCACCGUAUUGCGCAAUAGCAAGAAAUAUCCAAUAGCACAAUAUUGCGCAAUAGCAAGAAAUUGUCAAUUGUACAGUAUUGCGCAAUAGCUAGAAAUAUUUAAUUGCACAGUAUUGUGCAAAAGAAGAUAAUUCUUAUAAAUUGCGUAUUUCUUGACCAAUUUCAAUGGGGUUUUGUUCUUGAAUUCUUGGGGUUCUUUAAUAUGCUGAAUCUAACCGUGUAUUUAGUUUUUGGAUUUUGGGCCCCGUUUUUAAAUUGGUCCACAUUGAGGUCCAAAGGGUCCAAAAUUAAACUUUGUUUGAUUUCAUCAAAAAUUGAAUUAUUGGGGUUCUUUGAUAUGCCGAAUCUAACCGUGUAUUUAGAUUCUUAAUUUUUGGUUCUGUUUUCAAAUUGGUCUACAUUAAGGUCCAAAGGGUCCAAAAUUAAACUAAGUUUGAUUUUAACAAAAAUUGAAUUCUUAGGGUUCUUUGAUAUGCUGAAUCUAAACAUGUAUUUAGAUUUUUGAUUAUGGGCCCAGUUUUCAAGUUGGUCCAAAUCGGGGUCCAAAAUUAAACUUUGUUUGAUUUCAACAAAAAUUGAAUAUAUGGGGUUCUUUGAUAUGCUGAAUCUAACCAUGUAUUUAGAUUUUUGAUUUUUGGGCCCCAUUAUCAACUUUGUCCACAUUGAGGUCAAAAGGGUCCAAAAUUAAACUUUGUUUGAUUUCAUCAAAAAUUGAAUUCUUGGGGUUCUUUGAUAUGCUGAAUCUAACCAUGUAUUUAGAUUUUGGAUAUUGGACCAUAAUAGGCGAAUGUCCAAUUUAAAAUUUUUAAGUUCUUAGACCACAUUCAUUCUGUGUCAGAAACCUAUGCUGUGUCAAAUAUUUAAUCACAAUCCAAAUUCAGAGCUGUAUCAAGCUUGAAUGUUGAGUCCAUACUUGCCCAAACUGUUCAGGGUUCGACCUCUGCGGUCGUAUCAAGCUGCGCCCUGCGGAGCAUUUUAUUCUAG